rnacentral:rRNA from 1 species
AUUGAACGCUGGCGGCAGGCCUAACACAUGCAAGUCGAGCGAGCGGCGGACGGGUGAGUAAUGUAUGGGGACUGCCCGAUAGAGGGGGCUAACUACGGGAAACGGUGGCUAAUACCGCAUACUAUCGGAUAACCCAUAGGGGUUUAGCUAGUAGGUGGGGUAAAGGCUCACCUAGGCGAUGAUCUCUAGCUGGUCUGAGAGGAUGAUCGGCCACACUGGGACUGAGACACGGCCCAGACUCCUACGGAGGCAGCAGUGGGGAAUAUUGCACAAUGGGCGCAAGCCUGAUCGAGCCAUGCCGCGUGUAUGAAGAAGGCCUUAGGGUCGUAAAGUACUUUCAGCGGGGAGGCGUUACCCGCAGAAGAAGCACCGGCUAACUCCGUGCCAGCAGCCGCGGUAAUAC